rnacentral:tRNA from 1 species
GGGAAGUUGGCUCAGUGGUAGAGCGCUUGCCUUGCAAGCCUGAGGCCCUGGGUUCG